CACUUCAUACCUUGUCAUUUCUUCUCUCUCCUCUUCUCUGUCUCAAAUUUCUACAACUACUCCUCUCAAAUUGAUCUCAAGUCCAUCCCAAAGAAAACCCAGAAAAUCUUACCUGAAAAUUUCUAAACCCUUUUGCCGAAAUCAUAUUUAACCUACAACCCAUAUCAUCUUUCUUGAUCCUUGACAAAUAUAUACUCUCUCCUAUUUCCCCAUUAUUAGAUUAUAAGCAACNNNNNNGGAGAAGAUAAGGAGACCUACAAACUUGUUUGGUUGCUCAGACAUGGAGCUAUUCCCAGCACAACCAGAUUUAUCUCUCCAAAUUAGCCC
rnacentral:misc_RNA from 1 species